CCUACGGGGGGCUGCAGUGGGGAAUAUUGCACAAUGGGCGCAAGCCUGAUGCAGCCAUGCCGCGUGUGUGAAGAAGGCCUUCGGGUUGUAAAGCACUUUCAGCGGGGAGGAAGGCGUUAAGGUUAAUAACCUUGUCGAUUGACGUUACCCGCAGAAGAAGCACCGGCUAACUCCGUGCCAGCAGCCGCGGUAAUACGGAGGGUGCAAGCGUUAAUCGGAAUUACUGGGCGUAAAGCGCACGCAGGCGGUCUGUCAAGUCGGAUGUGAAAUCCCCGGGCUCAACCUGGGAACUGCAUUCGAAACUGGCAGGCUAGAGUCUUGUAGAGGGGGGUAGAAUUCCAGGUGUAGCGGUGAAAUGCGUAGAGAUCUGGAGGAAUACCGGUGGCGAAGGCGGCCCCCUGGACAAAGACUGACGCUCAGGAGCGAAAGCGUGGGGAGCAAACAGGAUUAGAUACCCUAGUAGUC
rnacentral:rRNA from 1 species